AGCCUGGAUUGGACAGGGCACACUUGACUCAAUAGAGAGGUACUGGCAGCCCAGAGAGGAUGCAGCUGCAGUAUUUGCAACUCUCUGGUUACAUAAUGUAGAAUAAAAUUCCCAAGCUUCAGGAAAUUUCUAAUUCUCCAUUUUGAAAACUCAAGCGUGUCAUACAAUUUGAACAAGUUUGGGUUAGUAAUUUUCUAAUCAAGUUUUCAUUUCCACUUAUUAGUAGAUCUCUGGAGAGUUAAGAGGCUAAAGACAUGCUUGUCAGGAUCUAUCCUCUUGAGUGAUACCGUGUGUGUGUGUGUGUGUGUGUGUGUGUGUGUGUGUGUGUGUGUGUGCGCGCGUGGGCAGCUGUGACUGUACAUGUGCAUGUGUCUACUCAGGCAUACUGUAUAAUCCUUCAGUAAAUGUUUGUGUAACUGACUGAAGUCUCCCUUCAUUGCUCCAAUAAUAGCUUCUACUUCUUUCUGUCCUUGUGUGACUCCUUUGCACUGUGUUAUGUACUACAGGCUAGUAUACCCAGUUGAGUCGUUUUAUUCUGAUAAUAGACAAACAGUGCAGUUACUGGACUGUUCUUGAACAUUCAUCCUCGGCAAAGAUGAUACGCUUCCAAAGGACAUGUGUGGCGAAGAAUGACAAACGCAGGACCCAAACUCCACAAGACCUGGGAGGUGUACACGCUGCCACAAGUGGGUGGGGAAUUCAUCGAGACAUUUCCGUGAUAUUCUUCUUCAUGCCCUCACAUCUUCAGCUGUAUUGUUUUAAGGGGAUUCAGUGAAAUGCACCUUCCUCUGUCUCUCUAUCCCUUUCCCCCCUAAAUUAAUUCCCUUUGUCCAUUUUCUGUUUCUCUCCGCCUUUGCCUCUGUCAUUUUGCUGACGGCAAAAUGAAUAAAAGAUGGGAGACAGGUGAAAAGACUAGCAGAAAUGAUUAAGCAGACAAGUGAUGAUUGCACAGGAAUAAGGGGUGAUACGAAAGGAGAAUAUAUAUUAUCAACAUGAACACUUGGGGAUCUAGAGCAAGUCUUCUAUUUCUCCUGAGAAGUAUUGUAUCACAUACAAAUGUAUUUUAUUUCCCCAGAAACGGAAACUACAUUUUUUUGUAUUCAUUAACUGGAGUUAGACCGGACAGCUAUAUCAGCCAAUACUAGUUAGUCCACCAGACAGUCAAGUUGAUUAUUAGUCAUGCUAGCUGAGCAGAUCUAUGGGUGGAAUCGAGCUGUCUUUUAAUCAGUCCACUACUUUUCUCCAGACUGAAAUAUCUGAACGUCUAACUGAUGAAUUGGUACAAAAUUUGAGCAGACAUUUAUGGUUCUCAGACAAUACAUUUUAAAAUUCUUUGGUAAUCCCCUGACUUUUCCUCUAUUGCAGUGGUUCUCAAACUUUUUCUGUCAUGGCGGCUGUUAAAACCAAUUUCAGGUGUGAUGAAGGAGUUUCGGAGACUGAUGAAGACUUACAAAACCAUAUCCAAAUAAGUUUACAGUCCCUCCCUUCUCUGAAGAGUCUGUUGGUUAUUGGUUCAAAUCAAGACACGCUGUGUGUCAUUACAGCCACAUGCAGCCCUUUCUAUGUGGAGAUAGUCAGACGGUCUGUCCUUGGGUUACCUAACAAAUGUAUAACAGUGCAUCCUUAUCAACUCAGCUGCAUCAGUCAGUCGACAAACAAGCAGAGAGAGUUCAGCAAUUGACCUUAGUCUGACCUGGGGAAACCUGCGUCACAGGACCCAUAAAUUAUUCCUUCACAGCCCCCUUCAAAAACCCCCACGCACCCCCUCCCCUAACUACAAGUAAACGGAUUGAAUUUUUAUCAAUCAUUAAUAAUAUUGGGGGAGCAACAAAUAAAAAAGGAGUCCAGUUGAAUUUGAUUGAAAGAAAGAAAUGAUUCAUGUUAGCAUGAUAGCCAGAAGCUGUGUUGUUUUUUUUCUUUCCCUGCAUAAAUCAUGUUCAUUUAACUUAUAUAUUUUUUUAUUUAUAUUUAUUUUAUAUUUUACACUCUGGUCAGCCACACCCCCUUGCAGUGGUUCACCCCCCAGUUUGAGAACCACUGCUCUAGCGCCAUCAUAAGGUUGACAUUUGUGGUUUUGAAAUGUCUCAAAAACUAUUUGAUGGAUUGCCAUGUCACAUUCAUUUGCUGAAACUCUAAUUUUGUAGUUAAUAUUAACAGUAUAAUAUGAUGCCUGCCUCACAUCACCAGGUUGGCAUGCUGAGGUUAGCAUUUAGCUCAAAGCACCACUGUGCGUAUAGUAGGUUCCAGCCCCAUCCCGCUGGUGCUAAGCCCAAAGUACUUUAAAACAACAGAUUCGUUGUUAAUGUUUUUUUAAUGUUGUGUGAUUAUGUAAAAAGAAAAGUCGAUAUAUUGUUAUCUUUAUUUUUAAACUCUCAAAUAUCAGUGGCAACAAAAACAAAAAAUUCCCAGAGCACAGCAACACAAUGAGGUGCUGGUAGAUAGCAGGAUAAAUCUAUGAAAAAUCAAAAACAAACUACCGCACACUGAUCUGACUUACUACUUUAUUUGUGAGCAACGUGUUUCGCCCAUUGCUUCUUCAGGCUCACACAGCGAAAUUACAAAAGCACUUACAGGUGUGUUAAGUAGAUCCUGUGCAAAUAAAGUAAGUCAAAUCAGUGUGCGGUAGUUUGUUUUUGAUAUUUCUCAAAUAUCAGUAUGUAUGUAUAUAUAUAUAUACGAUAUAGAUAUCGUCAUUGCCAAAAUAAACCAAAAUCUAUAUCUGCUAUAAUGUACAUUGUACAAUAUAUUGUAGGUGCUAAUGCAGUGACUACUCCUUAAUGGGUUUAAAGAUGGAAUGCAAGAUGAUUAACGGAAUAUAGGAAAGGAGGAAAGGAGUAAAACAUACUUCUGCCUAACAAACUUUCUCUGAUUACUCCUUUUUUCCAGUACAAUUGAUAAGCCUCUGAUAAUUAUUCAAAUGAAACAAUCUAGGAAGUGUCUGUAUGUGUUAGCGGCGACAGACACAGAUAACAACCUGUGAUCAGGGGGUCAUACAAUAAAUGGACGUUAUUCCCUUUAAAGAGAUCCCAAGCCAAAAAGGUCCGUGAGCAAGAGUUCGAAUUGUGAAGAAAUAGCGUAAUCCUGGCCAAGAGGUGAAAGCAGGAGAAAAUCAGCUCUUCAUCCCUCCCAGGUCAUCUUAGUACCACUUUGUGUGUUCUUUAGUUCUAAGGUUACCUGUGACAGUGAUCCAAGACACAGCCACUUCACUAGACUACUUUGAGACUGAACUCAUCCAGCAUGUUUAACAUUCCACAGAAAGCUGUGCGAAUGAUUUGGAGCCUGAAGAAAAUGAAAGCCUGAUGGGGUUUCAGAGGGAGGUGAACUCAGUUUCAAUCAGCAUCACAUAACGAAAGUAAACAAUUGCAAUUACAGUAAUUAGUGUUGGUUACUCCAGCUUUGCUAGACUUGCUGGCUGAAAAUAGAAUUGUUUUACGUCAGAGGAGUAAAGAUUGUUCAAACAAGACUGCCAUCUAGAGUUCAUAUCCUCCUUUCACUGAGACUUUGACUGGUUUUUAUCCCUGUGAACUACUGUUCAAUAUCAAAUGAAAACAUAUUCACUUUCAUUUAAAUCUGUAUAUGCGUUCAUUGACUUUUCACAAAAUGCAAAUGGUUACCUUGUAUAUUUUAGAAUUUUAUUCCCAUCCAUUUCCUAUUUCCAGUAUUUUUACUUUACUUUUCAGUGCUGUUAUGGCCAUGCCCAGUGAUGCUUCCAGGCAUCGGUAAGGUUCAUAUGCUGUAAACCUAACUUGUCAGUGUCUUGCCUUAAGCCACAGUUCAUGGCUUACUGUAAUCACGUGACAGUGCUUAAAGCCAGCAGUUUCUCAUUCCACCAUGCUUGAGGACUAAUCACAGAUGCCAUUUGGUAUACAUGCACCUGGUUUGGGUUGUCAAUUAACCAAUAAAGAGCAGAAUGGUUUUAUAAUCAAUCAGAGUUUAUAAUAUUUACUUUCUAUUAAUACGAUUUAAGGCCAGGAUCUGAGGUUUCAUCAGGUUUCAUUCUUCUGAUUCUGAUCAGCUGGAAGUAUCCAGAGUCACACUGUGAUUUAGAGCUCAGAUCCAAUGAUGCAUACUUGAUUUGUGAAUGUCUUGUUCUGCAAAAGGAGCUUAAGAACUGCAGUUCUUUGCCAGCUUUUUUGUAAUCCUCACAAUAUAUCCAUGUUCAGACUGACUUUGGGCCUUUAACUGUCUGUAGUGCAUUUUUCAGUAUGUUAAAUGUACGUAUGUAUGUAAAAAUGUAUGUAAAACACAUACAUUUAUUUAGAAAGUGAGAUAGAGAGAGAGAGAGAGAUUUUCAACAUUAUAAAGCACCCAAAAAACUAAUUUCCAUCACACUGAUCUUCAUCAGGUUCUUCUCUCUCCCUCUUAAUGGUUUUUCUUUUCUCUUUUUUUGCACACUUUGUUUUCUCCUGUUCUCAUGUUCCUCUUGUUGGUUUUUGAGCUACUAUCAAGAUUUGAGUAUCCUGAUGUGAUUUUGUAUUGUGUGAACUAACAACAUGGCAACAGCACAAUAGAGAGGCCCAUUCGGACAUCUGUAGCCUCCUGAUGCAAAAUAAUUCAGGGUGGGUCAUUCGCCCUCAUUUCCUUCAUAAUCAUGUUCUGCUCUGCUGCCAUUUGUCAUCUGAAGCCCUUAACUGCAAUCCAUUCUGAUAAAUUGGGAUCUAUUCGUGGUCAGCUCAGAUGGAAGAAAAGCCACUGUACAGUGUCCCUUCAUUGUCCCUCUGAAACUAAAAUGAAAGCAGAAACAUUUCUGCAGUUUAAAGAUGAAAUCAUGAUCCAUAUUCAUAAAUGGCACUUGGCAGCUUGUUAUAAAAGGUAAUGAAACUGGUGGAGACAGAUUGCCUGAAAGAAAUCAUUGGAUGUAGAAACUUUCAGUAACAAAGCCAAAGCAAGCAAACAUGCCUUUCUGUUUAAGCAACUUCUUCAGUAGCAGUCAAAAACACUUCACAAAUUAUUAUUUGAUUAGUGAUAAUACAAAUUGCAGUGGCAAUAUGUCUCACCACCCCUACUAAGUUAGUAGGAUUUCAACUAAUUAUUAAUUUAAGUAGUUUUUCCAAUUGAUAUUUUUUUCUGUUCAUUUCUUUUAAACGAGACUGUUGCUGCAUUUCAUAACAGUGAUGGUUCUUCUACUGUGUUGCUGUUAUGUUGCAUUAUUGUAUAUAAUGUGGGUCACACAAGUUACAGAGACUGAGAGGUGGAGAAGCUGGGUACCUGAGUAUCGGUAAAACAUCAAUAAAUCUAAAUUGAACAUUACGGAGAAAACAGUGGUAGAUCCAUGAUAAAAUAGCUGACUGCUCCUGCCUUGCAUCACUAUAGGCUAGUAAACAAAUUGUUCUGCAUUUGCUUUGUACAGUUACAUCCUUUCUAAAUCAACACUUUGAAAUAAUACCAAUGGUACACAGGAUAGUAAUGUGGAUCACGUUAACUGGUGAAGUAAUAUGGAAAGACAUAACGUUACAUAUUGCACCGGAUAACAUUAGCAACUGCUCGGCAUUAGCCCCUUAACGCCAAUUGUCGCAAAUUCGCAUCACACCACUUCCUUUCAAACUGCAGCUGAGAUAGCGUACGUAUUUCCCCAAUGGCUGUUUGUGCAUAUUCAAUACAUACCUGGGAACCUUUUGCAAGCACUGGUUUCUCGUUUAUGCAUGUUGUCGCUAAUUUGCAUCAUACCUAAUUUUUAUUUUUUAUUUUAUCAAUCAAGGGGUUAGCCGGCGAGCUAACGUGACUCUCUUCGUGUUUCUCCAGCCUUUCUGAUGUUCACCGUUUUCACCAACAUCAUCUGAUUCUCGUUUGGCCUGACGGGCUUCAGCACAUAAACCUUUAUUGUUGUUUUGUAUCCUUACGUGGGAGUCUGUGUUGUGCUGGGAGCAGGUUGUUUUGUGGUGUUAGUGGACUGCAUUUCGCUAGCUGCGGUGAUGUCACAGUAGUCAGAGAGAGGCUCAGGAACUCAAACAGGGCUACAUCCCGACCCGGUGUCCUCACAUUUUAAGCAGAAUAGUGAGAAUAGUGGCUAUUCCAAGCAACAGAGAAAACAGGCGUGUGCUUCAUUUCUAAGUGAGGCUACAGCCCGUUGACAAUAAGGCAAGGGAAAUUUGCUUUAUUAAUAAGUGAUUUCCUUAAAAAACUACAUAUUGCCCCUUUAACUCACUGACAAAACCGGACAUCACAACCAUUGAAAUCAAUGGAGAUAGCAUUUGAAAUGAAAUGCAGAGAGCCAAAAACGGCCUUCAUGAUUGUCUAACAGGUAAACAUCAAAGCUGUUGAUAUCUGCCUUUGCCCUCCAGCUUGGCUGGGAGACUCAGGCCAAUAUAACAUUUUACUGAUGUAUUUUUCUUUACACAGCAUCACAGGGUAGAUUUGAGCAUAUACUGUAACUUGUAGCCAGACUCAUUUGACAUUCCCAUCACAUUCUGAUAGAUACAGAAACCUUGUCAGGUGGCCUUGCUUUUGUAAGACUGUACAUCUCCUUUAACAGGACAUGAGUGAGUAAUGACUGGACCUAAUUCAUUGUGCAUAUUUUUCAAGUUGCUGGUUAGUGCAAGAAGUUAUCCUACUUCAUGUGAAAUAAGCAGAUUUAAUAAGUAGGAUAGACUGCUGAGUGAGCUUUGCAGCCUCUGAAUGUAUCUCAGCUGAAUGAGCAGCAGUGCUUUAUUUUCAUCUUCAAAUCUUCAGUUUAGCUGAGAGGAAUCUCGAGAAAACGCCAUUCUCACAUUUGAAAAGGUUAGAAAAGGUAGAAGAGGAGUCUCACAGUUGUUGCUAGCAGUGUCUAUCUAUGUGAGGUGAUGGGGGUGGCCUGAAGGAAAGAGAGAACAGUUUGAGGUUAAACUACAGUCACUGUUAUUUUAGCUUCUGUACGGGCCAAAAGCAAAAACUUCACGCUUGCAGGUGUGUGUCUGCUUGUGUGUCAAUACAACCUCAAUUUCCUGUGUGUCAGUGGUUUUGUGCCCCACUGUACACACAAUGUAAUCCGCAAAACACACAAUUACAAGAGUGACAGAGAAGUUAAUGAACAGUGUUGUGCUCCACUGAAGGACUCCCAAGGGUAGAUCUGUUAAGCGUUAGCGGCAAUCAAAUAGUUUUGUUUAAUGUAUGCCAUCGGUAUUAAUGGAUGUGUGGUGAAAUGUAGCUUGCUUGUGAUUGUCAUGUCCAACAUUAUAUAACAGAAUAAAGUGGAGGAUGGAGUUUCAAUCAAUGCACUUGUCAGACUUAUAAUACCAUGCUUUCAGGCAUUAUUCAGUUUGAUGCCUUGACAUGGAGGCAUGGGGCAGUUAUGGGAGAAGUAUUUAAGCUAUUUAUUUAUUGAAUGACAAUUGGGAGUUUAACAUAAAUUUUAACUUUGUCUUCAAAGCUCCUCUUUUGCUUAGAUAACUGAUUGUGUUGGUCAGUAAUGCAUUAGGCCUACUUAGUAACACUUUACAGUAAUGUAAAUAAUGUUACGAAUACCAGUUAGAGCUUCAUUAAUUCGACUGUUUGGUGGUUGGUUUGUUCGCUGUCUUACCAGUGAAGACUGUUCCGUUAUAAAGGGCGCCUUUUCCCAAGCUUUGUCAGAGUGAAGGCCCACAGUCUAAGACUUUGAAAAAACAGUUGGCCGUUAUUGGUUCUAUUAAGUGGAUACUGCCUCAAAACACUUAGCAUGACCAGGCUAAUUAGAGAAUGUACUGUGCAAAAUGUGCUAGUGUAAACCUGUUAAAGUAAUUAUCUCCGAAAAUAUGUUAAGGAAAGACUUCUCCUCCCCCCCUCAUUCCCACACUCACCCCAAGAGGCAUUUCUCAGAUUUUCCUAGUAGGCAAAGCUAAGAUGAAACAGUCAGGGUCAUGACUAUUUAAGUCAUUAAUUAAUAUAUUAAAGAUUAAUUUAAAGUCAGUUAAUGAGCUCAUAUAUGACUGAUAACACUGAAUAAAACAGGAAACAACAUGAAUAGCAUGUUAAUUACCUGUGCCAUUUAGCAGUUAUAUUGUGAUAUUCUGUUAUUAUCUGUUAAAAGAAUACUGGAUUUAUUCAUUUAUUCUUGAGUAUAAUCUGGCAAAAUUGACUAAAAAGAUAAAUUUUUUUCUGUACUGUUUUUUCCUUUUAAGAAGAAGACUUUUCUUUAUUGAUAGGAGCGUGCAAGGAGAAAUCCAUCAUAAAGGAAACAGAUAUAUCCAAUUAUCCAUCCAUAAUGCAUUACAGCUGGAAGAGGUUGUGUUUAGGGAACAUAACAUGCUUUAUCUCGACAGGAAAUUGUCACUCCCUUUUCUGGCUAAAUUCUCUGUGAGAUGCUGGAGGUCAUUGUGGGGAAAAAUAGGAAGUCAAUAACUGAGACAGAAGUAGACAAGAGAUAAAGUAGAUAAAACAUAAACAUACAGUAUAUAACACUACUGUAUGCAUGUACUGUACUGCACAAACAACUCUGGAAUACUCUGGACAUCCUUGAUUUAUGAUAUUUACCACUGGAAGACAAGCAUGGAAUUUACAGUAAAACCUUUGCGGAGGUUGUGCUAUUGGAUGGGCCCACUGCAAAUCACCAUGGCAGUGUUAGUGCUGUACUCCACCCACUGAGCAUUACAUGAUUAUAUCAGAUCCAGCUUUUAAUCAUGAAAGUGAAAACGCAAUUAAGCUGGAUUGCACCGAGCGUAAACCUCUACCCCUGCUUGCCUGGUUAAUUAGGUGGUUCAUGUGGAGGGGCUUACAUUCACUCCACAGUUGAUUCCUGCCAUGGCCAAAAUCACCACAUAUGUCUUGUGAUGGCAUUUUAAUAGCUAAUGAAAUUUCUCAUUUAAAAAUAGUAAAAAUGGAGAAAGGUGAUGGCAGGUGGCAGCAGAGGUGUGUGGAUAUAUUAAAUUAUGUAUGCUUGUGUGUGUAAGUGCAAGUGUGUGUGUGUGUGUGUGUGUGUGUGUGUGUGUGUGUGUGUGUGUGUGUGUGUGUGUGUGUGAAAGAGAGAGCGAGGGAGAUUAUUUUUAAAAAGGUGUAUACCAACUAUUGAAAAUAUUUAAACCCUUAAGAUGACCAGAAGGACACUUGAAAAUAAUUUCAGAAACCUCUGUAACAUAACUUCCACAUUUCUUGUCCCAUAAACAGUCCAGUUUUAGACAUACAAUAUUUUAAUGCCAGGUGAUAGUCUUUCCUUACCCCUGUUAAUUAUUGUCUUCUUUGGCCAGAGGCUCAUCAUCACAAUGCAGCUAAAUUGCUCCCCAGCUGCCUGCCUGCCUGCCUACUGCUGGGUGUACUAGUCCGCAAAAUCAAGCACUGCUGAGCCUGCCAGCAAGCAUACAUUAUUGAUUUACAUUGAAAACUGUUAACAAGAAAAGGUAUACACCUGUACUGCUCCCCUGGUAGUUCAUGGGAUCAAAACUGCCAGGUUCAGGGGUAAGAUUCCCUCUGUGGCUACUGCUGGCUAUUGUUAAUGUUAAGUCUCUUCUUCUUCUUUUAUUUUAUUGAUAGCACUCCCAAUAUUUACCAUUUAUAAGCAAAUGGUUUAUAGUACACUACUUACUUUUAAGCAAAUAUAAGGACAUUUGGAAAGUGUUAAUUGAUGUAUUUGUCAUCUUUCAUAAAUGCUUGAUCUCACAUCUGUAGUCAUAUAUAAUUAUAUAUAAUUACACAGUAACAUGUUAAAAAGCGUUUAUUAAUUGUUUAUACAAUAAACUAACAUUCAAAGAUGGACUUAAAACUAAAAAUGAUUCCUCAUGUUUUAUCAAGCAUUAAUUAACUGUUUAUAAAUCAGUUCUAGGUGCUAGUUACAAAGGGGGUUAUAGUUAUGGAGAAUUACAUUGGAAAGCACUAUAAAUGUCCUAAAUCUACUCUAAAUCUAAUCUUAUAUUGUGUUAUAGGCUACUACUAGGCUUGAGUCCUUCAUCACCACCACACACAAAUGCUUUUUUUAAUUUAAAAAAAGUAAGUUUUAACUUGUAAAGACAGCAAGUGGAAAUCAUUGUUUGUGCAUGCUAACCAUCAUUAAAUAUAUCUAUUAUAAUUAUUAUUAUUACAUGAUGUGAUAUCUUAGUAUUAUAUUAUGAAGUUCAUGUGUUUCUGUUCAAAAUCAUACUUUAGUUAUCAAACUGAGGAAAAGCAAAGGCCUCGUUAUUAUUCCCUACUAGUAAAUAAGGUUUUGAUUUUAGCAUCAUUCCUCUUCUUAAGAACUUCAUCUGCCUUUUUCAGCAACUCUCAGUCUCUUGUCUCUGCUUUCCCAGACAGUGGACACCACUCUGCUGACUGAGCAAAUUCAGAGUGACACCACUUGAGAUUGUCUCUGCGAAGGCGUCCCUCCAACCCAUGCAUUACAAUGGCAUGUUAUGCUCCAUCACUGUUAUCCCGCAGUGGCAUAUUGUCUAGGAUGUAUAGAGGCUAGGACAAGAAUUGGCUGGUACAUCUGUUUUAGCUUUAGUAUGGACUGGACAUACUGCUAAUAAGUAAUUAGCUGCUCAUUAUUGUCUGGACAGGAUACCAGCUCGAAAACAACAAAAUUACCUGAAGGAGGCACUGCAGGUGUUGCCUGUCCAGGGACUGUAGAUGUGUAAAAACUGUAUAGUGGCCAAACAUGUAAAACCCACUUGUGCGAAACUUUUAUGUACACCCUUUUUCAUAAAGGGUAAAAGAACCUUGUAAUGUGUGUUGUGUGGUCUCUUUUGCUGACUCAGAAACAUCAGAGUAAACCACCUCCUGAUGUAUGCAGCCAGUGGAUACUGUAAUGUACUUUCUCUUAUCUGUUGAAAUUGCACAAAAUAUUUCUGUUGUCAAGUAAAUACUGAUUGUACACGAGUCUAGCUUGAUUUAAUUAGGCUGAAGUGCUGAUUCAGGUAUUGAUUAUCAUACUUUAAGGCCAAAGAGAAAGUGCACUUUCUGUCUGUCUGAUUCUAAUGUUUAAGCUACCUCUAGUGGCAGGAAGGAAGAAUUGCAUCGAAUAACAAAAUGAAGCUCGUAGAAAAAAAGUCCAAGAGAAACCAGAGCUGCCUGAAAAUACUGAUAACAAAUGUUUCCUUAAUAAAUAAUAUAUGUAUAAAACAGUAGUUUUAAAAGCAGCAUUUGAGGUGCAAGGUUGAAUUAUUGCAUUCAAGCCCCUGUGAGAGCAGAUCUUCACCCUGCAGAAGUGUCCAAAAGACAAAUCAAUUGUGCUCUGACCUCCCCUUAGGAAGGUAUAGAAUAUAAUGUUUUGUCUCUACAUAGACUGUAAAAAUGGGCAGUAACACACUUCUCAAUCAAACUGUAAAAUCAUAAUAUAAUGCAGGCUCCUACAUAUUUCUGCUGCUAAACUGUUUAUUCAAAUCCCAUAACUCUCUUGACAUUUGGUGCAAUUUUGGACCUAUCUAAUGUUUUUACAGGUAGGGUGAAAGACAGGGCUGAGUUUGAACAGGUGUUUGAUGGCAAUACUUAAUGUCAGUUAGUGAGCAAGCAUCCUGCCACACCUUAGUAACUGUAAAAAGGCAUGCCUUCAGGAUGUUUAUUGUUUAUGACCAUCCAAAUGUGCAGCACUCAUUGAGUUAAACACAAGAUUGUGGUUGUUGUUUUGAAAAUAAAACUUCACAGUAAUUGCAAAGUAACAGGAUACAGAACAAAGUCUGAAAAAUGUAUCAUGAAUACUGUGCACCAGGAAACCAAAAAGCUCUUUAGUACCCACAAGCACUCACUGCAUUAUUUAUGAAGACCAGCACUUCUGAUUGGAGAUGGAAGCUUUUUGUCGUUGUGUGUGUCACUCAUGCGAAAAGGCCAUGCUGAAGAUCUCUGAACCAUCUGUUAUUUAUUUCUCUGUAGAAUCUCCGUCUGAUAAAUGAUGCAGAUGCAGUGAUCCUU